rnacentral:rRNA from 1 species
UACGGGAGGGGCAAGAGUUAUUCGGCUUGACUGGGCGUAAUGGGUUCUUAGACUGUAAAAUAAGUUACUUGUUAAACUUUAAAGCUUAACUUUAAAUCAGCUUGUAAUACUGUUUUACUUGAGUUUUAUACAGAAGAGUAGAAUUUUAUACGUAAGGGUAAAAUCUAAAGAUAUAUAAAGGAAUGCCGGUAGCGAAGGCGACUCUGUGGUAAAAACUGACGGUGAGGAACGAAAGUAUGGGGAGCAAACAGG